GAACACUGUUAAAAGUGAAAGAGCACUAUUAACAAUUUACAAAGAUACGGUUAAACAAGGCCUAGCACAGGCCAACAAUUUUUUGCCAUGUGGCAGUUGUUUUGAAUUUACCUAGGUUUUUUUUUCUUUUUCUGUAUGUGGAGGGAGAAGAGGAAAGGUAUUGAAGGGAAGUAACUGUAUUCUAUGAUUUUAUUUCAGAUGCAGCUGUUCUCUUAGUUACAUUGGCAGAUUGUGUGUUGUCAAUGUUGACUAUUGCUUAGGGAACCACAGUAUAUCAGUGCAUGGCCUCUGCCUGGCCCUUUCGCACAAUUGUAACUGUAGCGGUCUGCAAAGAUAUGAAAGGAACAUCUGUGAGAUAGAUACUGAAGACUGCAAAUCUGCGUCCUGCAAAAAUGGAACAACUAGUACACAUUUAAGGGGAUAUUUCUUCCGCAAGUGUGUCCCAGGAUUUAAAGGUACGCAAUGUGAAAUUGAUAUAGAUGAGUGUGCUUCACAUCCCUGCAAAAAUGGAGCCACCUGCAUUGACCAACCUGGUAAUUACUUCUGCCAGUGUGUGCCUCCAUUUAAAGUGGUUGAUGGCUUUUCCUGCUUAUGCAAUCCAGGCUAUGUUGGGAUAAGAUGUGAACAGGACAUUGAUGACUGCAUCCUGAAUGCCUGUGAGCACAAUUCUACCUGCAAAGACCUGCAUCUCCAUCAUGAUGCUGAAUUUAGAUGAAAAGCAGAAAAUAAGAAGACUUCAAAUCCACAGUAGGAAGUGAUUUG
rnacentral:lncRNA from 1 species